UUACAGUUCUAGAGGCUGAUAAGUCCAAGCAUAUGGUGCCAGCAUCUGGUGAGGCCUUCUUGCUGUGUAAUCUCAUGGCAGAAGAGUGGAAGGACAAGUGAGCACAUGCAAAAGGGAUUGUACAAGGUGCUGAGCUGGCUUUAUUACAACUUGCUCUUGAGAUAACUACCAACUCUGAUGAUAGGACCUUAAUCUAUUCAUAAGGGUGCUGCCUAUGAUUUGAUUACCUCUUAAAGGCCCCACAUCUUAAUACUUUUACAAUGGCAAUUAAAUGUCAACAUGAGUUUCAGUGGAGACAAACAUUCAAACCAUAGCAAAGGCUUAGAAUAGAAUCCUAGGAAUUCCAAAAUUGCCAGACAGAGAAAAAGAUGACAGCUACAGAAUCUGUGAAAUAUGUUCAUCAAAGUAAAAAGAAAUCCAGACAGUCAGUGACCUGUGAGCCAAUGGAAGAGAGAGACCACACAGGUGAGUGCCAAUGAGAGAUCAAAUGAGAUAUAGGUCAUAGUUACUUGUUCUAUUAAAUGACAUAGAAGAUAAAGGUGGCCUUAGCAAAAAUAGAAUUUCAAACUGUUAGGGAGGAAGCCAGACUGGAAUUAGAGAGGUAGCUGAAGAAUGACAGGGAAUGAGUAGAGAGGAACAGAGAGUAUAGGUUCUUUUGAAGAGCCAGGAAAGUUGGCAUGAAGAAGCUCAAUAUCUCUUUCUGUCUCUCAUUCUCACUCUGUGUGUGUAUGUGUGUGUGUGUGUGUGUGUGGUGGGGAGAAGGAAUAAGAGACAGAAAUCUUGAAACAUUAAAAUUAUCAUUAAAUGAUGGUGAGAAGGAAAGAAAUAUAAAAGUUAUGGUAAGAGAAAAAUAUGAGUAAUAUUUAACUCUUUCCAGAAAGGAUCCUCAAACCAAAGAACAUCCAUUUAGGCACUAUGGCUAGUGUUCAAACACACAAUAACCUCAAAAUAACACUUGCUGUCAAGCAGAAUUUGUAAAACUGAGCUGAAUAAUCAUGGAUUCAAAGGAAUUUAUUUCCUGACAUAUCAAAAUGGCCUUGUUUAAAUCAUGUAAUCGAGUCUAUAAUAAAAAUUUAAUCUUAAGGUUUUAUAGCUCAAAAAAAUCUGUAUUUUAAAUUUUUAGGCAGUUUCUUCUAAGGUGAACAAUGGUAUUUACCUUUUGGGUAGAACAUGACUUAUUUUUGGAAGUAUUGCUUGAGUAAUAUUAAGAAUUAGGAAAUAUCUACUUGCUGAUAUGAGAGUAUACAAAAAUGUUUGCUUGACAAGCUUCCGAGGGCUCUGUAAGAUUGUGGUGAUAUCAGAUAAUGCCCUUCCCAAAUGUGUCUGCUCAUCAAUGAAUUUACACACAUGCAUAACAGCUUCCUGGGAGCAGAAUGGCUUGUACCUGGUUCUGUCUCUGAGUGUUUCAAAGAUAUGGAAGCAUGUUUGAUGAAAGAUCAUGGAAUAGCAAAGAAAAAUAGCACCAAAAAGGCAAACAAGGCAGGGAAAGAUUCUAGACUAGUGAUUUGGGAUCAACACAGGACAGGAUGAUUAGAGAGAAUAGCUUCCUGUGCACACUAUGUAGUUUGAUGCAGAAGCCAUCCUGAUCCAGAUGCCCUGGUACUGUGGGGCGGGACCUUGGAAAAAUUACCCAGAGGAUGUGAAGUGAAAGUUUUGUUACACCAUUCUUCAGAGUGAAGGCAGUUUUCCUACAGAAACCUUCAAAAAAGGAGAUGCAUCCUUCCUUGUUCCUGGCAGUCUUGCAUUUGAGGAAAUCAGUAUGCUCCAACUUAGAACUUUGAACUUUGAAUUUUCAGGAAGCCAUGAAGAAUGGAGUAAGAUUCUAGGACCAGUUAACAAGAACAUGUAAAAUAAUUUGUUUGUAAAAUAAUCUUAUGAGGCUAAAGCACAAGCCAGAGCAGAUUUUUUUCAAAAUGCAUAAGCAACACUUGUUCAAUUCCACCUGCUGCAGUUAAAGAAAAGUAAGCAAAAGGGAACACUGACAAAGUAAUUAUUUCUAGCUAUCAAAUGUCCAUUCAUUGAUUUCUAGCCAAAGCAGAGAGAAUCAGGAAGUUUCUAUAAAGGGCAAUGAGUUUCCACAAUACAGAAUGUCUGUGUUGGCUCAACUCCUACCAGUUACCAAACUCCCUAAUCAUCCUCAAUACUUUCACAAUAAGUGCAAAUGCUUUCAAAGUUUAAAUAGAUGCAUCAAAAAAUAUGUGCCAGAUAGCAAUAUUUGAACACUUUUCACUAAGUGCUAAAAGAUUUUAGUUUUGUAUACUAACUGUUAACAUGGAUUAAAACCAACAAAUAAAAACACAAUUGCAAUGCUACUUGUGCUACUGGCCAACUUAGCACCAAAUCACUAAUAACAAUAAAAUUUUUCAAAAUCUUAAUCAAAAUUUCCCCAAAUUAAAAGAAAGCCAAUCAAUCUACAAAUUGUAAAGACUGUAAAAUUAGAUCAAUUAAACUCAACUGGGGAGAGAUUUUAUUUUCCAAGGCACAUUUGGCAGUAUCUAAAGACAUUUUUGUUUGUCACAAAUGAAGGAGGGGGUGCUACCGGUGUCUAGUGGGUAGAGAACAGGGAUGCUGCGAAACAUCCUCUUAUACCUAGGCCAGCCCCCUACAACAAAAAAUUAUUGGCAUAAAGUGUCAAUGGUGCCAGAUUUUAGAAAUCCUGAGUUGGAGUUACCAUAAAGUCCAAUUUAUUUUCCUUUAUUUACAGAGCACCCUCUGGUUUAUAACGAUAACAUCAUAGCAUCAGUAUGUAGGAAGAAAUGUAUUUUCUAAUCCAUUAUGGUUUUCAGGGAUGAAGAGAAUUAUUAUUGCUGUAUCUGAAAAUAAUACCACACCAUUAAGAAUGUAAGUGAAAAGGAAGUGUCUAAGGCACUGGAAUCUUUGUACAACUUAAUCGUUUAGAUAAAUUUGAAAUUUAAAAAUGCUUUAAAAUAGGGAUAAACUCUCCAAGAUUCUGAGUUUACAAAAAAAUUUCCAGUGUUUUAAGCAAUUACUUUUCUUAUGUAAAUCCCAGAUAAGAUGUAGAGGUACUUAUCAACAAACUGACUCCAGAUUUCUAUCAAUGAGCCUAAUAAUAUUAUAAUGAUAGUUUAAAUACUAGGCUGAAGGACAUUAAUAAUGGAGAUUAAAGUAAAAGAUGUAUAUUUAAAUUAAUUCAGUUAAAUUUUGUUAAUUGAUACUCAUUUCCAUUAAUUCUGUUUUUGCAACCUUUCAGACUUAUCUUUUAGUCUCCAGAGGCAGAAAAAAAGCAGAAAAGGUUGUUGAAAUUCUUCACAUUGAUUUCAGGGCAAUGAUCUCAAACGGCGCAGUGGGAACCCGCAAAUUUAAGAGGGUAGUUUCCCUGCACAAGCCCUUUUUUUGCCUGCUGCCAUCCGUGUAAGAUGUGACUUGCUCCUCCUUGUCUUCUACCAUGAUUGUGAGGCCUCCCCAGUUAUGUGGAACUCAAAGCUAGAGGAAACCAAAGUCAUAGAACAUCUGAACUCUGUCCAAACAUCGGUCGUAUUUCAAAAUUUCAGAGCCUCAGACUUCCAUGAUAAUAUCUGCCUAGUCUUUAGAAGAGUGUAUGGAAGUGUUCAAGAACCUUUCCUGAAACAACUUCUAUUACAGACACUGCUUCUUCAUGGUUAUUCCAUCAGAUUGCAAUCACUUAUAUGUUUUUUUCCACUCUUCCUUAUAUUAUGAGCACUUUUCACGUAGGGGUUCAUCUCUUUAAUAAUCAUAGCUCCCAACACAAUUGUAGGCUUAUAUUAGAUGCUCGAUAAAGAUGAGUUGAGUUAACAUGUAAAGUAAUGAAUGAGUAAGGAAAAAUAGAAUAGUUUCGAAUUAAUGCAUGUUACUGCUACUGUAAAUUUAAUGUUUUCAUUUCUAUUACUAUUUAUAUAUAAAUUUAAUUAAUUGUUAACUUUCUUUGCCAUCCAUACAUCUAUUUAUCUGCUCAUUUGAAAAUCUCUUUCCUGUUUCCUAUUAUUCAAAAUAUUAAAAGCAAAUAUUACUUAAAUAUUUAAAUCACUCUUUUUCCAUGUUAAGUUUCUCAGGAUGCAGAAUGUUGCUGUACACUGAGAAAUAUUAGGCGAUACAAAAUGGCUACUAUAACGUAAUGUUCUAGAAAAUGAUAAAAGUCAAACCCAUUGGUUUUUGCUGCCAACACAAGUUUGUCAAUGUAAUUAAUGCCCUUUAGCCUGGGAGGGUUGUAUGACAGGAAAAAUGGCAUCAAAGCCAUUUUUAUUUAAAAAAUAAAUUUAAUAUUACUUGAUAAUAAGGGAGCUAUAUAAGCAAAAAUCUUAGAAUUUUCUUUUUCUUUUUUUUCCUUAGUUUCACAUCUUUCUACAUAGUAUCCAAAUCCCAGUUGUUGAUACUAAUUUUCUUGCCUUCUUACCCUUAACAAGUUUGGAGACAAAGUUAAUAUCAUUAGUAGUAUGUAAACUAAUUCCUAAAGCAAAAGUCUCUAAAAGUGUGAUCCAUGUCCCAUUUUUUAUUGGUCUGCAAUGAGGUAAGCACAGAAAUUUUAAUCACCUCCACGCAUACCUUCAAUGAGCAACAUGUACAGUUUUUUGAGACUCUUCUCUCUUUUCCUGUUAUUUUCUGAUUGCAUUUAUAAAAAUGCAAUUUUGUGUUUGUUGAAUCUGAUGAUAAAAAAUGAGGAAACACCGCAUAUUCUCACUCAUAGGUGGGAAUUGAACAAUGAGAUCAC
rnacentral:lncRNA from 1 species